rnacentral:rRNA from 1 species
AUUGAACGCUGGCGGCAGGCCUAACACAUGCAAGUCGAACGAGUGGCGGACGGGUGAGUAAUGUCUGGGAAACUGCCAGAUGGCGGGGGAUAACUACUGGAAACGGUAGCUAAUACCGCAUACCAUCGAAUGUGCCCAGAUGGGAUUAGCUAGUAGGUGGGGUAACGGCUCAACGAGGCGACGAUCCCUAGCUGGUCUGAGAGGAUGACCAGCCACACUGGAACUGAGACACGGGCCAGACUCCGACGGGAGGCAGCAGUGGUGAAUAUUGCACAAUGGGCGAAAGCCUGAUGCAGCCAUGCCGAGUGGAUGAAGAAGGCCUUCGGGUUGUAAAGUACUUUCAGCGAGGAGGCGUUACUCGCAGAAGAAGCACCGGCUAACUCCGUGCCAGCAGCCGCGGUAAUAC